GACACUGUGCCAGAGAAUUGGGUUUCCUUGAUGUGGAAGAGUAUGGAGGUGAUUUCCUUCCAGUGUUA
rnacentral:tRNA from 1 species